GAUGAACGCUGGCGGCGUGCUUAACACAUGCAAGUCGAACGGAAAGGCCCCUUUUUGGUUGCUUACUUGGCUGACGAACGAGUGAGACGCACGUAACCUGUCUUCCCCUCACGUCGAGCUAAACGUAAGUAAGUGUAAUUCCGAACAGGAAUCCUUGCUGCAUGGAUGGGGUUGUGAAACGUUGGCGGUUUUGGAUGGGCUCGCGGCUUAUCAGCUUGUUGGUGGGGUGUUGGCUUACCAAGGCUUUGACGGGUAGCCGGCCUGAGAGGGUGACCGGCCACAUUGGGACUGAGAUACGGCCCAGACUCCUACGGGAGGCAGCAGUGGGGAAUAUUGCACAAUGGGCGGAAGCCUGAUGCAGCAACGCCGCGUGCGGGAUGACGGCCUUCGGGUUGUAAACCGCUUUCAGCAGGGGCGAAGCGUGUGGUGACGGUACCUGCAGAAGAAGCACCGGCUAACUACGUG
rnacentral:rRNA from 1 species